GCAGAACGCGAAGAACCUUACCAGCCCCUUGACAUCCCGGGUCGCGGUUUUCCAGAGAUGGAUUCCUUCAGUUAGGCUGGGACCGGUGACAGGUGCUGCAUGGCUGUCGUCAGCUCGUGUCGUGAGAUGUUGGGUUAAGUCCCGCAACGAGCGCGAACCCUCGUCCUUAGUUGCCAUCAUUAACGUUGGGAACUCUAAGGAAACUGCCCGUGAUAAGCGGGAGGAAGGUGGGGACGACGUCAAGGUCAUCAUGGCCCUUACGGCCUGGGCUACACACGUGCUACAAUGGCAUCGACAAUGGGCAGCUAACCCGCAAGGGUAUGCGAAUCCCCGAAACGAUGUCUCAGUUCGGAUUGUCCUCUGCAACUCGAGGGCAUGAAGCUGGAAUCGCUAGUAAUC
rnacentral:rRNA from 1 species